CAAGCUGAGGGAGCCGGCUCCCGCCUUGGCCAGCCCGGAAAGGGGCUCCCACGGUGCAGCGGUGGGCUGAAGGGCUCCUCAAGCACGGCCAGAGUGGGCGCCAAGGCCGAGGAGGCCCCGAGAGCGAGCGAGGGCUGCCAGUAUGCUGUCACCUCUCAUUAUUAUUUGCCGAUGGGAGUGGAGAAGGAGACUUGGUGAUAACAGGACUGAAAACCUUGUGUAGCCUACAGUCCAUAUGCUUCAGUCUAUUGUGUCUUGAUCUAAGAAGAGAUGCAGAACAGAUGGUAUGUUGGUGGCAGGCUGAGUUAAGCUUAUCUUCUGUAAGAAAAGAUUUCUACUGUCCAUAUUUCUGACUUAUUAUACCCAAUUUUAAUAUGCAUCUUAAAUGACAAGUGUGAAAAUAUAAGCACUUAAAUAUUUGCAGUUCUUUAAAUCUUGACGAACAUUGGUGGACAUAGUUAUUAUAUGAAAAUUUAAGAGCUGUUUUCAUGAUGAUUUUUAAAUCCAGACUUUCUUCAGUCUUUGCUAAAUUUAAAUCUCACAGUUCUCAGGUACUAGAAAGGGGCCUUUUUAUGUAUGCUCUAGAACUCUUUGGCCAAUAUACGUUACUUAAAUUUGUAUAUGAGCACAUCAUUUUUGU
rnacentral:lncRNA from 10 species